CCUACGGGAGGCAGCAGUGGGGGAUAUUGCACAAUGGGGGAAACCCUGAUGCAGCGACGCCGCGUGUGGGAAGACGGUCCUCUGGAUUGUAAACUACUUUUCUCAGGGACGAAGAUGACGGUACCUGGGGAGGAAGCCCCGGCUAACUACGUGCCAGCAGCCGCGGUAAUACGUGGGGGGCGAGCGUUGUCCGGAUUUACUGGGUGUAAAGGGAGCGUAGGCGGGGAGGCAAGUCGGGUGGAAAAACUACGGGCCAAACUGGUAGUCGCAGUGAAAACUGAAGGUCUUGAGUGAGGUAGAGGCAGGCGGAAUUCGUAGUGUAGCGGUGAAAUGCGUAGAUAUUAGGAGGAACACCAGUGGCGAAGGCGGCCUGCUGGACUUUAACUGACGCUGAGGCUCGAAAGUGUGGGGAGCAAACAGGAUUAGAUACCCUGGUAGUC
rnacentral:rRNA from 1 species